rnacentral:rRNA from 1 species
CGGACGGGUGAGUAAUGCCUGGGAAAUUGCCCUGAUGUGGGGGAUAACCAUUGGAAACGAUGGCUAAUACCGCAUAACGCCUUCGGGCCAAAGAGGGGGACCUUCGGGCCUCUCGCGUCAGGAUAUGCCCAGGUGGGAUUAGCUAGUUGGUGAGGUAAAGGCUCACCAAGGCGACGAUCCCUAGCUGGUCUGAGAGGAUGAUCAGCCACACUGGAACUGAGACACGGUCCAGACUCCUACGGGAGGCAGCAGUGGGGAAUAUUGCACAAUGGGCGCAAGCCUGAUGCAGCCAUGCCGCGUGUAUGAAGAAGGCCUUCGGGUUGUAAAGUACUUUCAGCAGUGAGGAAGGGUGUGAAGUUAAUAGCUUCAUAUCUUGACGUUAGCUGCAGAAGAAGCACCGGCUAACUCCGUGCCAGCAGCCGCGGUAAUACGGAGGGUGCGAGCGUUAAUCGGAAUUACUGGGCGUAAAGCGCAUGCAGGUGGUUUGUUAAGUCAGAUGUGAAAGCCCGGGGCUCAACCUCGGAACCGCAUUUGAAACUGGCAGGCUAGAGUACUGUAGAGGGGGGUAGAAUUUCAGGUGUAGCGGUGAAAUGCGUAGAGAUCUGAAGGAAUACCAGUGGCGAAGGCGGCCCCCUGGACAGAUACUGACACUCAGAUGCGAAAGCGUGGGGAGCAAACAGGAUUAGAUACCCUGGUAGUCCACGCCGUAAACGAUGUCUACUUGGAGGUUGUGGCCUUGAGCCGUGGCUUUCGGAGCUAACGCGUUAAGUAGACCGCCUGGGGAGUACGGUCGCAAGAUUAAAACUCAAAUGAAUUGACGGGGGCCCGCACAAGCGGUGGAGCAUGUGGUUUAAUUCGAUGCAACGCGAAGAACCUUACCUACUCUUGACAUCCAUAGAACUUAGCAGAGAUGCUUUGGUGCCUUCGGGAACUAUGAGACAGGUGCUGCAUGGCUGUCGUCAGCUCGUGUUGUGAAAUGUUGGGUUAAGUCCCGCAACGAGCGCAACCCUUAUCCUUGUUUGCCAGCACGUAAUGGUGGGAACUCCAGGGAGACUGCCGGUGAUAAACCGGAGGAAGGUGGGGACGACGUCAA